rnacentral:rRNA from 1 species
CGGGGUCACGCCCCGGGUGCGUCGCAGCCCCGGAACCAGGCGCCCGCCGGAGGGACCAACCAAACUCUUUUCUGUAGUCCCCUCGCGGACGUUAUUUCUUACAGCUCUGAGCAAAAAUUCAAAAUGAAUCAAAACUUUCAACAACGGAUCUCUUGGUUCUGGCAUCGAUGAAGAACGCAGCGAAAUGCGAUAAGUAAUGUGAAUUGCAGAAUUCAGUGAAUCAUCGAAUCUUUGAACGCACAUUGCGCCCGCCAGUAUUCUGGCGGGCAUGCCUGUCCGAGCGUCAUUUCAACCCUCGAACCCCUCCGGGGGGUCGGCGUUGGGGACCUCGGGAGCCCCUAAGACGGGAUCCCGGCCCCGAAAUACAGUGGCGGUCUCGCCGCAGCCUCUCCUGCGCAGUAGUUUGCACAACUCGCACCGGGAGCGCGGCGCGUCCACGUCCGUAAAACACCCAACUUCUGAAAUGUUGACCUCGGAUCAGGUAGGAAUACCCGCUGAACUUAAGCAUAUCAAU